AGCAAGCAGCGGCGUUUCACCGACGUACCGCGCGUGAAAGAUGGCGGAGGUUCUUUUAAGGGGAUGGGGAAGGAGUGGAGAGACAGUGAAUUUUUCA
rnacentral:lncRNA from 1 species